UACGAAGGGGGCUAGCGUUGUUCGGAAUCACUGGGCGUAAAGGGUGCGCAGGCGGAUUUUUAAGUCAGGGGUGAAAUCCCGAGGCUCAACCUCGGGAGUGCCUUUGAUACUGGGGAUCUUGAGUACGGAAGAGGUGAGUGGAACUGCGAGUGUAGAGGUGAAAUUCGUAGAUAUUCGCAAGAACACCGGUGGCGAAGGCGGCUCACUGGUCCGGAACUGACGCUGAGGCACGAAAGCGUGGGGAGCAAACAGG
rnacentral:rRNA from 1 species